UAUGAGUAAUCAAAUUCAAAUGCAUGAUUAGAAUAAUUUUUCAAUUGCUUUAGUUGAGGUCAAAUCUUUGUGAUUAUAUAUCUUUGAAUGAUAGGAUGAAUUUGAACUAAGUAGCUUUAUUCAAUUUGAUUUCAUCCAUUCCUUCUUAACUUGAUUAAUUGAUUAUGAAUCACUUAGACCUAGCCGGGUGAGAUUGUGUGAACCUUCCAUUGUUUAUAUAUUUGAGAGCCGACAAUUGUGUUUAACUCUGUUGAUUUUAACUGAAUCUUGCUAUUACUUGAUUUGUUUGAAGUCAUGGAUAUGAUCAAGGCCUUGUUUCUUUUUGAGUGGUAACUACUUAAGCCAAAAUAACCUACCUUGUGACUUAGUGUGAUCCUUUGCUACCCCCUUGAGCCAAACUUAUGAAAAUUUGUUUGUUUUGAACCCUUGAACCACAAUAAAGAAAAACAAUGACUUAACCCUUGUCUUAGGAUGAUUGAGCAUUGAAUUUAAGUAGGGUUGAAAAUAAGUUGGGGAGAAAGAGGUUAUUUGUUUGUUUGAAAAAAAAGAAAGAAGUAGUUGAAAAUGGUGAUUGUGAAAAAGAAAAAGAAUUUUGAAAAGAUGUUACAAUCAAAAGAAGUCAUUCAAAUUGAAAAGAAAAAAAGAAAAAAAAGAAAAAAAGAAAAAGAAGAGAUUGUAGCAUACAAAAAGAAUCCCAAAAGUAAAGAAUGAGGAAAGUGAAAGAGGAUGAAUAACUUAUGUAAUGUUUUGAAGAUACUCAAAGUUUAUGCUCUCUUAUCCUUAAAGGCAUUUUGAAUCCAAAGAAAAACAAUGAUUUCUUGUAGCCUAGCCCCAUUACAAGCUUAAGAAAGACCUUAGUGAUCCAUGAUUGAUAACAUGUCUUGUGAUUUUGUUGAGAUGUAUGUUUGAAUUGAUUUGUUGUGAACACAUUGCUUGGAUUGAGAGAAACACUACACCCUUGAGUUGAAACACUUGUGAGAAUUGUGAUUCUAGUUGAUUGUCUUGUUGAUUUGGAAAGUUUGAAAUCUUACUUGAAUUUUGAAACUAUUUCACAUUCAUGCUUUGAUUUUUUUGAUGAUUAUGAAGGUUUGAUUUUGAACUUGCAAUACAUUGAAUCAUGCAAACUUGAAAUG
rnacentral:lncRNA from 1 species